rnacentral:rRNA from 1 species
AUGAACGCUGGCGGCGUGCCUAAUACAUGCAAGUCGAGCGAACAGACGAGGAGCUUGCUCCUCUGACGUUAGCGGCGGACGGGUGAGUAACACGUGGAUAACCUACCUAUAAGAAUGGGAUAACUUCGGGAAACCGGAGCUAAUACCGGAUAAUAUAUUGAACCGCAUGGUUCAAUAGUGAAAGACGGUUUUGCUGUCACUUAUAGAUGGAUCCGCGCCGCAUUAGCUAGUUGGUAAGGUAACGGCUUACCAAGGCAACGAUGCGUAGCCGACCUGAGAGGGUGAUCGGCCACACUGGAACUGAGACACGGUCCAGACUCCUACGGGAGGCAGCAGUAGGGAAUCUUCCGCAAUGGGCGAAAGCUUGACGGAGCAACGCCGCGUGAGUGAUGAAGGUCUUCGGAUCGUAAAACUCUGUUAUUAGGGAAGAACAAAUGUGUAAGUAACUAUGCACGUCUUGACGGUACCUAAUCAGAAAGCCACGGCUAACUACGUG